GAUGAACGCUGGCGGCGUGCCUAAUACAUGCAAGUCGAGCGAACGGACGAGAAGCUUGCUUCUCUGAUGUUAGCGGCGGACGGGUGAGUAACACGUGGAUAACCUACCUAUAAGACUGGGAUAACUUCGGGAAACCGGAGCUAAUACCGGAUAAUAUUUUGAACCGCAUGGUUCAAAAGUGAAAGACGGUCUUGCUGUCACUUAUAGAUGGAUCCGCGCUGCAUUAGCUAGUUGGUAAGGUAACGGCUUACCAAGGCAACGAUGCAUAGCCGACCUGAGAGGGUGAUCGGCCACACUGGAACUGAGACACGGUCCAGACUCCUACGGGAGGCAGCAGUAGGGAAUCUGCCGCAAUGGGCGAAAGCCUGACGGAGCAACGCCGCGUGAGUGAUGAAGGUCUUCGGAUCGUAAAACUCUGUUAUUAGGGAAGAACAUAUGUGUAAGUAACUGUGCACAUCUUGACGGUACCUAAUCAGAAAGCCACGGCGAACUACGU
rnacentral:rRNA from 1 species